AUAGACGGGUAUGAAUGUGGUGCACGUUUCGUACUAUUUCGUGACUAGAUACAUACUCGUCUACG
rnacentral:pre_miRNA from 1 species